GAUGAACGCUAGCGGGAGGCCUAACACAUGCAAGCCGAGCGGGAUUUGAGACUAGCUUGCUAGUCUUAAUGAGAGCGGCGUACGGGUGCGGAACACGUGUGCAACCUGCCUUUAUCUGGGAGAUAGCCUUUCGAAAGGAAGAUUAAUAUCCCAUAAUAUAAUGAUUGGCAUCAAUUAUUAUUGAACGCUCCGGCGGAUAGAGAUGGGCACGCGCAAGAUUAGAUAGUUGGUGAGGUAACGGCUCACCAAGUCGAUGAUCUUUAGGGGGCCUGAGAGGGUGAUCCCCCACACUGGUACUGAGACACGGACCAGACUCCUACGGGAGGCAGCAGUGAGGAAUAUUGGACAAUGGGUGAAAGCCUGAUCCAGCCAUCCCGCGUGAAGGAUUAAGGACCUAUGGUUUGUAAACUUCUUUUCUACAGGGAUAAACCUACUCUCGUGAGAGUAGCUGAAGGUACUGUAGGAAUGAGCACCGGCUAACUCCGUGCCAGCAGCCGCCCGUAAUAC
rnacentral:rRNA from 1 species